rnacentral:rRNA from 1 species
AAUCAACGCUGGCGGCGUGCCUCAGACAUGCAAGUCGAACGAUUAAGACUUCCUUCGGGAGGUGCAUAAAGUGGCGCACGGGUGAGUAGCACGUAAGUAAUCUACCCUCGAGUGGGGAAUAACGUUCGGAAACGAACGCUAAUACCGCAUAACGCAGCGGCACCGCAAGGUGACAGUUGUUAAAGGAGCAAUCCGCUCGUGGAGGAACUUGCGGCAGAUUAGCUAGUUGGUAAGGUAAUGGCUUACCAAGGCUACGAUCUGUAUCCGGUCUAAGAGGACGGUCGGACACACUGACACUGAAUAACGGGUCAGACUCCUACGGGAGGCAGCAGUCGGGAAUUUUGGGCAAUGGGCGAAAGCCUGACCCAGCAACGCCGCGUGAAGGAUGAAGUAUUUCGGUAUGUAAACUUCGAAAGAAUGGGAAGAAUAAAUGACGGUACCAUUUAUAAGCUCCGGCUAACUACGUGCCAGCAGCCGCAGUAAGAC